AACGAACGCUGGCGGCAGGCUUAACACAUGCAAGUCGAACGCCCCGCAAGGGGAGUGGCAGACGGGUGAGUAACGCGUGGGAAUCUACCGUACCCUACGGAAUAACGCAUGGAAACGUGUGCUAAUACCGUAUACGCCCUACGGGGGAAAGAUUUAUCGGGGUAUGAUGAGCCCGCGUUGAAUUAGCUAGUUGGUGGGGUAAAGGCCUACCAAGGCGACGAUCCAUAGCCGGUCUGAGAGGAUGAUCAGCCACAUUGGGACUGAGACACGGCCCAAACUCCUACGGGAGGCAGCAGUGGGGAAUAUUGGACAAUGGGCGCAAGCCUGAUCCAGCCAUGCCGCGUGAGUGAUGAAGGCCCUAGGGUUGUAAAGCUCUUUCACCGAUGAAGAUAAUGACGGUAGUCGGAGAAGAAGCCCCGGCUAACUUCGUGCCAGCCGCCGCCGUAAGAC
rnacentral:rRNA from 1 species